CUACACUACACUACACUACACUACACUACACUACACUACACUACACCUCAAAUGCGCUGUAAGCUCAAAUACAUCACUCAAAAUGUUUUCUUUUAGGACUGAAAGUUUGAAAUGAGACAGUUCGGGAAAUUAUCACCAAUUAUGUUAAGGUAUGUCCCAAAGUAGUUAUGAUUUAUACUUAGUCUUCCUAUGAUUAUGUAUAAUGAGUAAAAGGAUUUAUAUUCACUGCUUUAAGAGACAAUAUGGCCCACUUACUCUGUCUAAUGGCAGACGAUUUUACUCGUCAAGGGGAGCGCGCUGUCACUUAAUGGGUUAACAUUAAAUCGUCAUCUAGUUCAUGCAAGGAACAAACAAACGAUCGUAUCUAUACGCUGUCUCUAUAUCGAUGAGCUUAUUGUAGCUCUGGGACAAAUCCAAUUAAAUAUGUUUAUAUAUUGACACACUGUUAAGUAUUUUUAUAUUCAACUUUCUGUAAUUCUUUAUUUUGUAGAAAAAUGUUCAACACAUCACUGUAAACAACGAAAUAUGUUCGACUAUUAAUUGAAAUGAAGAAUGAGGAUAUGUUUACAAUGGAAUGCUGAUCCUCAUUAAUUUAUUUCAUCACUAACUUCAUUGUGGUAUCUCCACUAUUCUGAGCACGGGCCGGAAUGGACGCUAUGAAUUGUUCGUGAAUUUGUACGCUAUUCAAUUAAUAUUGCUAUUAAUUUAAAGUGGAUUUUUUGGCGAUUUCACAAGUUCCUUGAAAUACGACUGUUAAUUCUUCGAAGACAAGGCUAACGUAUAUUGAUUGUCCCUCAUUAUUGGUACCUUUACAACGAACAUCGCCAUCUCCACAGAGCCGAAUACUGGUAAAUCAAUGAAAUUGAACUGUCGACGCUUCAUAAAAAAUAAACAUAUAAAAGCUUACAGAAAUGGUUUCCAUGCAUUAAAGAACUUGCCAAAUUUGGUUUCUUCAGAUGCAAGAUUUAUUCCGUGAUUAUAUAAUCAUAAUUCACACUCAAACUGAAUAUUUAAACUUCAAAUAGUCCUAGUGAUUGUUUCAGAAUUUUGUUCUUAUGCGAUAUAUACUGUAAAAAAAUCUGUGAUUCUUUUAUUGCAUAAUGAUACUUCGAUGCGUAUCUGCAAGUAUUGCUAACUGAACUGUCAGCUCUUUCUCUACUAUUCUCCUCAAUAAAGUCUCACUUUAAACUGUAUUCGAGUUGAUUAUACUUGUCUAUAUCUGUAAACUGCCUAGGUAGCGGCCGCAAAACUUGAUGUUAGCGAUACUAUAGUAACUUACUGGUAAUGGCUACCUUUUACAGUAUGUUACAGUCAAAAUACAAGAACC